UGAUGAAGACUCAUCCCUGUGCCCUGAUGCAUUCCUGUCUGCAUGCAUAUUUGCACUGCACUAUUUCUGCCCUGGGUUUCUGAUUCAGCAGACUCACCUCCCUCUCUACAAGCAGAAAUGCAACAACCACCUCCGUGAGUGUGAAGAGAGCUCUCCCACGCUACCUGCACACAGUAUCCAGAGACGGUGCAAUACGGGCUUCCGUGUGGUCCAGUGUCAUGUUCCAGGGUCACCUUGACAUCGGCUUUCUUCAUGCCCCGCCAUAUGCUGAGAACACAAACACAUUUAGCUCAGAAAUGUUAAAUGUCAUGCAGGGGAACGCUGUGUGAUCGUUCUGCAUUUCUUCUGUAUGUUCCCCUCUGACUGGUUGUGUAUGGCUUUGACCACUGCAUGCCAUGGUAUACAACGUGGGACACGGCUCCUUGUGCAUCUCCCAGCAUUUCGUGGGAUAGACUAGUUCAAAUCGCGGAUUAGGUACAUUUUCAACUGUUCUACACAUUGCAAAUUGUUGCCCAAAGCGGUUACAGCAAAUUUCCUCAGGCUAGAUUAUAUGGUGCUCUCUGUUUCUGAAGGUUCCUCCCAGAAGAAUUGCUCUUCUUAAUUUUCACAGAGCUAAUUGAAAUAUUUGUCAUCAUUUUUUGGUGCAAGUAAAAGGCAAGAGAUGAGGUGAGUGUUCAGAACAUAUUGGUGUGCAUGUGAAAAUAGAAUUGUGAGAU
rnacentral:lncRNA from 1 species